GAUGAACGCUGGCGGCGUGCCUAAUACAUGCAAGUCGAGCGAACAGACGAGGAGCUUGCUCCUUCGACGUUAGCGGCGGACGGGUGAGUAACACGUAGGUAACCUACCUAUAAGACUGGGAUAACUUCGGGAAACCGGAGCUAAUACCGGAUAAUAUUUCGAACCGCAUGGUUCGAUAGUGAAAGAUGGCUUUGCUAUCACUUAUAGAUGGACCUGCGCCGUAUUAGCUAGUUAGUAAGGUAACGGCUUACCAAGGCAACGAUACGUAGCCGACCUGAGAGGGUGAUCGGCCACACUGGAACUGAGACACGGUCCAGACUCCUACGGGAGGCAGCAGUAGGGAAUCUUCCGCAAUGGGCGAAAGCCUGACGGAGCAACGCCGCGUGAGUGAUGAAGGUCUUCGGAUCGUAAAACUCUGUUAUUAGGGAAGAACAAACGUGUAAGUAACUGUGCACGUCUUGACGGUACCUAAUCAGAAAGCCACGGCUAACUACGUG
rnacentral:rRNA from 1 species